UACGGAGGGUGCAAGCGUUAUCCGGAUUCACUGGGUUUAAAGGGUGCGUAGGUGGGCAGGUAAGUCAGUGGUGAAAUCCUUGAGCUUAACUCGAGAACUGCCAUUGAUACUAUCUGUCUUGAAUGUUGUGGAGGUGAGCGGAAUAUGUCAUGUAGCGGUGAAAUGCUUAGAUAUGACAUAGAACAUCUAUUGCGAAGGCAGCUCACUACGCAAAUAUUGACACUGAGGCACGAAAGCGUGGGGACGAACAAGC
rnacentral:rRNA from 1 species